rnacentral:rRNA from 1 species
GACAGUGUCAGGCGGGCAGUUUGACUGGGGCGGUCGCCUCCUAAAGAGUAACGGAGGCGCUCAAAGGUUCCCUCAGAAUGGUUGGAAAUCAUUCAUAGAGUGUAAAGGCAUAAGGGAGCUUGACUGCGAGACCUACAAGUCGAGCAGGGUCGAAAGACGGACUUAGUGAUCCGGUGGUUCCGCAUGGAAGGGCCAUCGCUCAACGGAUAAAAGCUACCCCGGGGAUAACAGGCUUAUCUCCCCCAAGAGUUCACAUCGACGGGGAGGUUUGGCACCUCGAUGUCGGCUCAUCGCAUCCUGGGGCUGUAGUCGGUCCCAAGGGUUGGGCUGUUCGCCCAUUAAAGCGGUACGCGAGCUGGGUUCAGAACGUCGUGAGACAGUUCGGUCCCUAUCCGUCGUGGGCGUAGGAAAUUUGAGAGGAGCUGUCCUUAGUACGAGAGGACCGGGAUGGACAUACCUCUGGUGUACCAGUUGUCGUGCCAACGGCAUAGCUGGGUAGCUAUGUAUGGACGGGAUAAGUGCUGAAAGCAUCUAAGCAUGAAGCCCCCCUCGAGAUGAGAUUUCCCAACUUC